GACGAACGCUGGCGGCGUGCCUAAUACAUGCAAGUAGAACGCUGAAGGAGGAGCUUGCUUCUCUGGAUGAGUUGCGAACGGGUGAGUAACGCGUAGGUAACCUGCCUGGUAGCGGGGGAUAACUAUUGGAAACGAUAGCUAAUACCGCAUAAUAGUAGAUGUUGCAUGACAUUUGCUUAAAAGGUGCAAUUGCAUCACUACCAGAUGGACCUGCGUUGUAUUAGCUAGUUGGUGGGGUAACGGCUCACCAAGGCGACGAUACAUAGACGACCUGAGAGGGUGAUCGGCCACACUGGGACUGAGACACGGCCCAGACUCCUACGGGAGGCAGCAGUAGGGAAUCUUCGGCAAUGGACGGAAGUCUGACCGAGCAACGCCGCGUGAGUGAAGAAGGUUUUCGGAUCGUAAAGCUCUGUUGUAAGAGAAGAACGAGUGUGAGAGUGGAAAGUUCACACUGUGACGGUAGCUUACCAGAAAGGGACGGCUAACUACGUG
rnacentral:rRNA from 1 species